rnacentral:rRNA from 1 species
UGGGGAAUUUUGGACAAUGGGCGAAAGCCUGAUCCAGCAAUGCCGCGUGUGUGAAGAAGGCCUUCGGGUUGUAAAGCACUUUUGUCCGGAAAGAAAUCCUUGGCUCUAAUACAGUCGGGGGAUGACGGUACCGGAAGAAUAAGCACCGGCUAACUACGUGCCAGCAGCCGCGGUAAUACGUAGGGUGCAAGCGUUAAUCGGAAUUACUGGGCGUAAAGCGUGCGCAGGCGGUUUGCUAAGACCGAUGUGAAAUCCCGGGCUCAACCUGGGAACUGCAUUGGUGACUGGCAGGCUAGAGUAUGGCAGAGGGGGGUAGAAUUCCACGUGUAGCAGUGAAAUGCGUAGAGAUGUGGAGGAAUACCGAUGGCGAAGGCAGCCCCCUGGGGCCAAUACUGACGCUCAUGCACGAAAGCGUGGGGGA